CAGCCGCCGCAUUAAUACGUAGGGUGCAAGCGUUAAUCGGAAUUACUGGGCGUAAAGCGUGCGCAGGCGGUUAUAUAAGACAGAUGUGAAAUCCCCGGGCUCAACCUGGGAACUGCAUUUGUGACUGUAUAGCUAGAGUACGGCAGAGGGGGAUGGAAUUCCGCGUGUAGCAGUGAAAUGCGUAGAUAUGCGGAGGAACACCGAUGGCGAAGGCAAUCCCCUGGGCCUGUACUGACGCUCAUGCACGAAAGCGUGGGGAGCAAACAGGAUUAGAUACCCCUGUAGUCCCUGUCUCUUAUAA
rnacentral:rRNA from 1 species